rnacentral:rRNA from 1 species
AACGAACGCUGGCGGCAUGCCUAACACAUGCAAGUCGAACGAGACCUUCGGGUCUAGUGGCGCACGGGUGCGUAACGCGUGGGAACCUGCCCUUAGGUUCGGAAUAACUCCCCGAAAGGGGUGCUAAUACCGGAUAAUGUCUUCGGACCAAAGAUUUAUCGCCUUUGGAUGGGCCCGCGUUUGAUUAGCUAGUUGGUAGUGUAAAAGCCUACCAAGGCGACGAUCCAUAGCUGGUCUGAGAGGAUGAUCAGCCACACUGGGACUGAGACACGGCCCAGACUCCUACGGGAGGCAGCAGUGGGGAAUAUUGGACAAUGGGCGAAAGCCUGAUCCAGCAAUGCCGCGUGAGUGAUGAAGGCCUUAGGGUUGUAAAGCUCUUUUACCCGGGAUGAUAAUGACAGUACCGGGAGAAUAAGCUCCGGCUAACUCCGUG